AGUGAACGCUGGCGGUAGGCCUAACACAUGCAAGUCGAACGGCAGCACAGUAAGAGCUUGCUCUUACGGGUGGCGAGUGGCGGACGGGUGAGGAAUACAUCGGAAUCUACUUUUUCGUGGGGGAUAACGUAGGGAAACUUACGCUAAUACCGCAUACGACCUACGGGUGAAAGCAGGGGAUCUUCGGACCUUGCGCGAUUGAAUGAGCCGAUGUCGGAUUAGCUAGUUGGCGGGGUAAAGGCCCACCAAGGCGAUGAUCCGUAGCUGGUCUGAGAGGAUGAUCGGCCACACUGGAACUGAGACACGGUCCAGACUCCUACGGGAGGCAGCAGUGGGGAAUAUUGGGCAAUGGGCGCAAGCCUGAUCCAGCCAUACCGCGUGGGUGAAGAAGGCCUUCGGGUUGUAAAGCCCUUUUGUUGGGAAAGAAAAGCAGCAGGUUAAUACCCCGCUGUUCUGACGGUACCCAAAGAAUAAGCACCGGCUAACUUCGUG
rnacentral:rRNA from 1 species